rnacentral:rRNA from 1 species
AUGAAUUGCCUAAGUUGGAACUGCCGGGGAGGGGGGAACACCCGGACAGUUCGUGAGUUAGCGACGUUGUGUAAGUCAUGUUCCCCCAUGCUCGUUGUUCUGUGUGAAACUAGACAAAAGGAGGAGAAGAUGAAAAGGAUCCAGGCCAAACUGGGGCUGAAGGGUUUUUGUGGAGUGGACAGCAAUGGUCUUAGUGGUGGUUUGGCGCUAUACUGA